UACGGAGGGUGCAAGCGUUGCUCGGAAUUAUUGGGCGUAAAGGGUAGGUAGGUGGUCUCAUUUGUCUGGGGUGAAAGCCUUGAGCUUAACUCAAGAAGUGCCCCAGAAACGGUGAGACUAGAGUUCUGGAGAGGGUCGUGGAAUUCCCGGUGUAGCGGUGAAAUGCGUAGAGAUCGGGAGGAACACCAGAGGCGAAGGCGGCGACCUGGACGGAUACUGACACUCAACUACGAAAGCGUGGGUAGCAAACAGG
rnacentral:rRNA from 1 species